GCACUGCUGAGGAGUCCCACAAUAAGACGCAACGGCCGUUCAGUGC
rfam:Schistosoma margrebowiei strain Zambia genome assembly, scaffold: SMRZ_scaffold0001024